rnacentral:rRNA from 1 species
GUCUAAGUAUAAGCGUUAUACUGUGAAACUGCGAAUGGCUCAUUAAAUCAGCAAUAGUUUCUUUGGUGGUGACCUACUACAUGGAUAACCGUAGUAAUUCUAGAGCUAAUACAUGCGUAAAUCUCGACUCACGAAGAGACGUAUUUAUUAGAUAAAGACCGACCUCGUUCUGCGGUGAAUCAUAAUAACUUCACGGACCGCAUGGCUUUAUGCCGGCGGUGUUCCAUUCAAAUUUCUGCCCUAUCAACUUUCGACGGUAGGAUAGAGGCCUACCGUGGUGUUCACGGGUGACGGAGAAUUAGGGUUCGAUUCCGGAGAGGGAGCCUGAGAAACGGCUACCACAUCUAAGGAAGGCAGCAGGCGCGUAAAUUACCCAAUCCUGACUCAGGGAGGUAGUGACAAGAAAUAACGGACCGAGGCCUUCGGGCUUCGGGAUUGGAAUGAGCCGAAUUUACACCCCUUAGCGAAGAUCGAUUGGAGGGCAAGUCUGGUGCCAGCAGCCGCGGUAAUUCCAGCUCCAAUAGCGUAUAUUAAAGUUGUUGCAGUUAAAAAGCUCGUAGUUGGAUUUCUGGGAGGGUGCCGAUGUCCACUUAACGUGUGCGCAGCGGCGCCCUCUCAUCCUUCUGUUAGCGUCUCUUGGCAUUCAUUUGCUGGUGGCGGGCUCAGAUAUUUUACCUUGAGAA